AGAGUUUGAUCAUGGCUCAGAACGUACGCUGGCGGCACGCCUAACACAUGCAAGUCGAACGAAGUAGCAAUACUUAGUGGCAGACGGGUGAGUAACAUGUGGGUAUCUACCCUUUGGCCUGGAAUAACACGAGGAAACUUGUGCUAAUACCGGAUAAGUCUUUACGGAGAAAGCUUUAUGCACCAUCGGAUGAGCCUGCACUUGAUUAGUUUGUUGGUGGGGUAAUGGCCUACCAAGACUGUGAUCAAUAGCUGAUUUGAGAGGAUGAUCAGCCACAUUGGGACUGAGACACGGCCCAGACUCCUACGGGAGGCAGCAGUGGGGAAUCUUGCACAAUGGAGGAAACUCUGAUGCAGCGAUGCCGCGUGAGUGAAGAAGGCCCUUGGGUUGUAAAGCUCUUUCGUCGGGGAAGAAAAUGACUGUACCCGAAUAAGAAGGUCCGGCUAACUUCGUGCCAGCAGCCGCGGUAAUAC
rnacentral:rRNA from 1 species